ensembl:lncRNA GLIDR glioblastoma down-regulated RNA
AACUCCUCCCACUGAGAUGACCCAUAGUACCCCAUUCCUUGCUGCAAUGUAAUUAUAUUUAAUUACAAGUGUGCCCCUGGUAGUCUUUAACUGAAGGGCACUGACUGGGUCACUGGUGAAGUUCCCCGCAGGAACUGAGUCAGACCCCAUCUCAGGGCCCUGCACAAGAUAGGUGCCUGCUCUAAGGCGUGGACCCUCGCCACAGCCCUGGCCCGUCUUGACGGGCGAGGGUUACUGUACUUGUCCCAACCGUACAGAUGAGAAAGCUGAGACUCAGGGCCAGCAACCCGGGUCCCAGCGGAGCGCCCGGCACACGCCGACACUUCAGCACCAGUGGCGGUGGCCACCACUGUGGGCGGAGAUGGCUGCGACGCGUGCGCAGAUCUCGAUCCCAAACUCCCUCCUGCCAGAAUCUGGACCCGAAUCCACCCAUUGCCCGUUUUCCGCUGCCGCUGGAGAGAAUCUCUGAGGUCCCCAGGAGAGCCUGCCUGCACGGAAGAGACGCCUCCUCGCUUUCACCAUGUGACAUGGAAGCUCCUGCUUUGCCUUCCACCAUGAUCCUGAGGCCUCCCCAGAAACAGAUGUCAGUGCUAAUGCUUCCUUGUAGAACCAUGAGCUAAUUAAACUUCUUUCCUUAUAAAUUA